rnacentral:lncRNA from 1 species
UGCAUAGUCUGGUAUCUGUUUACAGUCAUUUCUAGCAAUGAAUUAAGUUAAUUAAUCAGACAAAAGUUUGCAUUGUUGGAGCUUUUAGCUGACGUCACUUUUGUGCCUUGAAGUGAAGCUGAACAAACCUUGAGAAGAGUCUCCUUCAAUCUGCCGUAUAGUAGUAGCCUAACUAACACACACACUCAAUUACAGCCCAAUUUCGUUCUUUAUAAUCUACUGGCACUGUCCGCAAACAACGCAAAUCUGGGGGAACAUAACGCUAUUCUAACAUAGUAACUGACGCGAAGGAGGAUACAUAAAGUGACGGAAAUUAGAUAUGGAGUCUGGAGAGCGGCUGGCCUCCCCAUCGUCAGCCCCGUCCUCCCUGCAUAUCACCACGUCCGCGGUCUCCUCCGUCGGCUCCUCACCUGCCUCGGCCAAGACACCCUCCUCAAAGUGCAGCGUCACCCCCACCCACGCCGCUCUGGGCUCCCCUCUCACCACCUGUGGUACGUAAACACACACACACACACACACACACACACACACACACACACACACACACACACAGAUCAAUCACGCUACAUGCGAAUACAUGAGCUAUAUUCACCUCUAACUCAUCAUAUUUCAUUAUUCUCCAACUACAAAUUAAACAAGAAAAGAGCAUUCUUUAGUGUUAAUUAUGAGGGUUCAGUAAGAUGAAGAAAGCACCGUCUUCUCACACUUUAUUUCCUGACAGUUUGUGGAGAAAUUAAAAAGCUUUAGCAUUAAUCGACACCAGCAAUGAAAAAUCCUCUGUGUAAGACGUCGCACACCCGCUCUGUUUCUUGACAACCUUUAGCACCAGUUUAGCCCGUUGUGAUUUGACAGGUCUGUCAGCCAAAUAGAGUGCUGUGGCCUCCGCUGCCUCAAACAUCCUCUGUUUUCUCUGAAUACUAAUUGUGUCCGACGCUAUUGUGGCGAGCAGCGGUGAUGCAUAAACUGUCAGGUUACCCUGACCAGAAAAU